rnacentral:lncRNA from 1 species
GUAAGUGCGAUGGAACCUUCAGGUUCCAACCGCCGCCAGGGCCGCUCCGCCCAGUGGAGCCUGUCCGGCCCCCUUGCUGCCCGCUAGCUCCCGCCGGCUGGCGCAAGCUGUCGGCGCCGGGGCACUGCGGGCGGGGUCGGAGCCUGGCCUUCCUGACGUUGCAGCUGCCGUCCCCGCACGUUCCGGCCAGGGCCUCCCUCUUAGGGCCGGGCGGUGCCCGUGGCUCAGGCUGCAGAGUAGAAAGCACAAAAACCAGCCUGAUUGUAUCUGGAAAAAACCAUUAUGUUACAGUUGAUAGGCUCACCCCAAAAUAUGCUUUUGGGGACUGAUUUAGCACCUGCAUAUUCUGCGUGAAUCUCUUUAAUUGGUUGCAGUUGAGCUAAUGGUGGAGCCAAAAUGCUAUUGCCCUGUCUUCAUCAACAUUUAAUCAAGAACGUUUGUCUGCCUGAUGAGAGCCACUUGGGUUAAGAAACUACCUGUGAAUAGUCAUCAUUUCUGUCCUUCAUUGGGGAAUACUUUUAGAGAGUGUUGCGGAGAUAGGAACAUGGGAGAGAAACAAUCUGGGUAAC